UACGGGGGGGCAAGCGUUGUUCGGAAUUACUGGGCGUAAAGGGCUCGUAGGCGGCCAACUAAGUCAGACGUGAAAUCCCUCGGCUUAACCGGGGAACUGCGUCCGAUACUGGCAGGCUUGAAUCCGGGAGAGGGAUGCGGAAUUCCAGGUGUAGCGGGUGAAAUGCGUAGAUAUCUGGAGGAACACCGGUGGCGAAGGCG
rnacentral:rRNA from 1 species